ensembl:lncRNA
CGCUGCAGCCUCGUUCUUCUACGGCCUUGUUCUCCUGCGCCCUCGUUCUUCUACGGCCUUGUUCUCCUGCGGCCUCGUUCUCCUGCGGCCUUGUUCUCCUGCGGCCUCGUUCUCCUGCGGCCUCGUUCUCCUGCGGCCUCGUUCUCCUGCGGCCUCGUUCUCCUGCGGCCUCGUUCUCCUGCGCCCUUGUUCUUCUACGGCCUUGUUCUCCUGCGGCCUUGUUCUUCUGCGGCCUUGUUCUCCUGCGCCCUUGUUCUUCUACGGCCUUGUUCUCCUGCGCCCUUGUUCUUCUACGGCCUUGUUCUCCUGCGCCCUUGUUCUUCUACAGCCUUGUUCUCCUGCAUCCUUGUUCUUCUACGGCCUCGUUCUUCUACGGCCUUGUUGUUCUACGGCCUUGUUCUUCUCCUGCCUCGUUCUCCUGCGCCCUUGUUCUCCUGCGCCCUUGUUCUUCUACGGCCUUGUUCUCCUGCAUCCUUGUUCUUCUACGGCCUCGUUCUUCUACGGCCUUGUUGUUCUACGGCCUUGUUCUUCUCCUGCCUCGUUCUCCUGCGCCCUUGUUCUCCUGCGGCCUUGUUCUUCUACGGCCUCGUUCUUCUACGGCCUUGUUCUCCUGCGCCCUUGUUCUUCUACGGCCUUGUUCUUCUACGGCCUCGUUCUUCUACGGCCUCGUUCUCCUGCGCCCUUGUUCUUCUACGGCCUCGUUCUUCUACGGCCUCGUUCUUCUACGGCCUUGUUCUCCUGCGCCCUUGUUCUUCUACGGCCUUGUUCUUCUACGGCCUUGUUCUCCUGCGCCCUUGUUCUCCUGCGCCCUUGUUCUCCUGCGCCCUUGUUCUCCCGCGCCCUUGUUCUCCUGCGCCCUUGUUCUCCUGCGGCCUUGUGCUUCUACGGCCUCGUUCUUCUACGGCCUCGUUCUCCUGCGCCCUUGUUCUUCUACGGCCUUGUUCUUCUACGGCCUUGUUCUCCUGCGCCCUUGUUCUCCUGCGCCCUUGUUCUCCUGCGCCCUUGUUCUCCUGCGCCCUUGUUCUCCUGCGGCCUCGUUCUUCUACGGCCUCGUUCUUCUACGGCCUCGUUCUUCUACGGCCUCGUUCUCCUGCGCCCUUGUUCUUCUACGGCCUUGUUCUUCUACGGCCUUGUUCUUCUACGGCCUUGUUCUCCUGCGCCCUUGUUCUCCUGCGCCCUUGUUCUCCUGCGCCCUUGUUCUCCUGCGCCCUUGUUCUCCUGCGGCCUUGUUCUUCUACGGCCUCGUUCUCCUGCGGCCUCGUUCUUCUACGGCCUUGUUCUCCUGCGCCCUUGUUCUCCUGCGCCCUUGUUCUCCUGCGCCCUUGUUCUCCUGCGCCCUUGUUCUCCUGCGCCCUUGUGCUUCUACGGCCUCGUUCUCCUGCGCCCUUGUUCUCCUGCGGCCUCGUUCUUCUACGGCCUCGUUCUCCUGCGGCCUCGUUCUCCUGCGGCCUUGUUCUCCUGCGGCCUUGUUCUCCUGCGGCCUUGUUCUCCUGCGGCCUCGUUCUCCUGCGGCCUUGUUCUUCUACGGCCUCGUUCUCCUGCGGCCUUGUUCUUCUGCGGCCUCGUUCUCCUGCAUCCUUGUUCUUCUACGGCCUUGUUCUCCUGCAUCCUUGUUCUUCUACGGCCUCGUUAAAUGCAGAGGUGGAAUUUCCCUGUCGUGGGAUUAAUAAGGGUCACUUAAGGUUAAGAUUAAGAUUAAGAUUAAUCUUAAUCUGGCUGUACAGACUGAGUCGUGUUGCCACGGAUCGGAUUUCAGUGCCACAUAUGAAAGCGUCUGCAAUGGGAAUUGAAACUGUCAGAUUCAGUGUGUUUGAGUGUCUGUGUGAACAGAUAAACACACGUCUGAGUCACGCAUGA